UACGUAGGGGGCAAGCGUUGUCCGGAUUUACUGGGCGUAAAGAGCGUGUAGGCGGCCGCGCAGGUCCGUUGUGAAAACUGGAGGCUCAACCUUCAGACGUCGACGGAAACCGUGUGGCUAGAGUCCGGAAGAGGAGAGUGGAAUUCCUGGUGUAGCGGUAAAAUGCACAGAUAUAUAGAAGAACAUCAAUAACGGCGAAGGCAGUUAACUAUUCUGUUACUGACACUGAGGCACGAAAGCGUGGGGAGCAAAACGG
rnacentral:rRNA from 1 species